rnacentral:tRNA from 1 species
UACUUUCUUAGUAUAUCAGUACAAUUGACUUCCAAUCAGUUAGAUCUGGAUAAAACCAGAAGAAAGUA